rnacentral:rRNA from 1 species
GACGAACGCUGGCGGCGUGCUUAACACAUGCAAGUCGAACGGUGAAGCGCCUUCCUUUUUGGUGGGUGUGGAUGAGUGGCGAACGGGUGAGUAACACGUGAGUAACCUGCCCCCUUCUUCUGGAUAACCGCAUGAAAGUGUGGCUAAUACGGGAUAUUCUGGGUCUGUCGCAUGAUGGGUCUGGGAAAGAUAUUGUUUCGGUGGGGGAUGGGCUCGCGGCCUAUCAGCUUGUUGGUGGGGUGAUGGCCUACCAAGGCGGUGACGGGUAGCCGGCCUGAGAGGGUGGUCGGUCACACUGGGACUGAGACCCGGCCCAGACUCCUACGGGAGGCAGCAGUGGGGAAUAUUGCACAAUGGGCGCAAGCCUGAUGCAGCGACGCCGCGUGAGGGAUGGAGGCCUUCGGGUUGUGAACCUCUUUCGCCAGUGAAGCAGGCCUGCCUCGUUUGUGGGUGGGUUGACGGUAGCUGGAUAAGAAGCGCCGGCUAACUACGUG